UGUAAAAGGAUGUGUGAUGCAUUAAGAAUUUUGAUUUCUUUAGUUUCAGUUUGAUUCUGGAUUUUACAA
rnacentral:tRNA from 1 species